rnacentral:rRNA from 1 species
UACAGAGGGUGCGAGCGUUGUUCGGAAUUAUUGGGCGUAAAGCGCUGGUAGGUGGCUUGUUAAGUCGCGUGUGAAAUCUCCAGGCUCAACCUGGAAAGUGCGCGCGAAACUGGCGAGCUUGAGUGCCGGAGAGGGUCGCGGAAUUCCCGGUGUAGAGGUGAAAUUCGUAGAUAUCGGGGGGAACACCAGAGGCGAAGGCGGCGACCUGGAAGGUAACUGAUACUGAGCAGCGAAAGCGUGGGGAGCAAACAGG